rnacentral:rRNA from 1 species
ACCUACGGGGCGCAGCAGUGGGGAAUAUUGCACAAUGGGGGGAACCCUGAUGCAGCAAUGCCGCGUGGGUGAAGAAGCACUCCGGUGCGUAAAGCCCUGUCAGCAGGGAAGAAAAUGACAGUACCUGGACAAGAAGCCCCGGCUAACUACGUGCCAGCAGCCGCGGUAAUACGUAGGGGGCAAGCGUUAUCCGGAUUUAUUGGGUUUAAAGGGUGCGCAGGCGGCGAGUUAAGUCAGCGGUAAAAUUUCGGGGCUCAACCCCGACGAGCCGUUGAAACUGGCUUGCUAGAGUGGGCGAGAAGUAU